GGCUCCCUUUUGAGCUUUGUGAGUCAAGUAUCCUUCUGAGUGUUCCACCUGAUGCUCCAUGAAUUGUGAAGUUUUACACCCUGGCUGGUGGGAGCAUGAGCCAUUCCUAGGCCUGUGCCUUCACAUGCCCAGUUGGUCUUCUGGAAUUUGAUCCUGGUUAAUGGUCUGGUUGUCAAGAGAGAAGGUAGGGGCUUAUCCUGAGAGGAUGCAAGAAUGUCUCAUAAAGAAUCUGCCUCAACUGAGGCCUCUGCAUGAUCAUCAAACUACUGGGACAGUCACCUUCUGACCAGGGGAAGUGGGCCACUUCUGCAGGGCCAGUGGGUCCACGAGAAUCUGGGAAUUUGAAAUUCUGAAUUAGAACAUCACCUAAGAACAAGGGCAUUCUCUUACAUAACCACAGCAUAAUUACCAAAAUCAGAAACUUGGGCCAGCUCCUGUUCAGUUCAAACUGGUUGAGACCACUGACACUUCAACGGAGCCUGUGCAAGUGCCCGAGAGGUGGCCUUUUGACUUCAGAAGGCCCAAAGUUCCACCCUUAUGUUAUGCUAAUGCCGCCUUUCUAUACAUAUGUCCUAUGAAAUACUGUGAACCCUGUGCAGAAAGAACCUGUUACUUCAUUUUCCCCCACUGCCAAUCACCUUUCCUCACCCUGUGUCCCUAACCCAUAAAUAUCCCUCAGCCUUAUCUUCAGGGAAGUGGAUUUGAAAACUAUUCUCCCACCUCCGCACUUGGUGUCCUUGGGAAUAAAUUCUUUCCCUCUUACAAAACUA
rnacentral:lncRNA from 1 species